GAUGAACGCCGGCGGCGUGCCUAAUACAUGCAAGUCGAGCGAAUGGAUUAAGAGCUUGCUCUUAUGAAGUUAGCGGCGGACGGGUGAGUAACACGUGGGUAACCUGCCCAUAAGACUGGGAUAACUCCGGGAAACCGGGGCUAAUACCGGAUAACGUUUUGAACCGCAUGGUUCGAAAUUGAAAGGCGGCUUCGGCUGUCACUUAUGGAUGGACCCGCGUCGCAUUAGCGAGUUGGGGAGGUAACGGCUCACCAAGGCAACGAUGCGUAGCCGACCUGAGAGGGUGAUCGGCCACACUGGGACUGAGACACGGCCCAGACUCCUACGGGAGGCAGCAGUAGGGAAUCUUCCGCAAUGGACGAAAGUCUGACGGAGCAACGCCGCGUGAGUGAUGAAGGCUUUCGGGUCGUAAAACUCUGUUGUUAGGGAAGAACAAGUGCUAGUUGAAUAAGCUGGCACCUUGACGGUACCUAACCAGAAAGCCACGGCUAACUACGUGCCAGCAGCCGCCGUAA
rnacentral:rRNA from 1 species